rnacentral:rRNA from 1 species
UACGUAGGGAGCAAGCGUUGUUCGGAUUUACUGGGCGUAAAGAGCUCGUAGGCGGUUUGUUGCGUCGGCUGUGAAAUCCCGAGGCUCAACCUCGGGUCUGCAGUCGAUACGAGCAAACUAGAGUGUUGCAGGGGAGACUGGAAUUCCUGGUGUAGCGGUGAAAUGCGCAGAUAUCAGGAGGAACACCGGUGGCGAAGGCGGUUCUCUGGGCAUUACCUGACGCUGAGGAGCGAAAGCGUGGGGAGCAAACAGG